rnacentral:tmRNA from 1 species
GGGGAUGACAGGCUUCGACGGGGCAGGUCGUUCUUUGACUGCAGGCCGUAGAGCGUCGACUACGCUAAAAAGGCGCAAACCCUAUACAUGCCAACAACACUGGCAAGGUCUUCAACUUCGGUUUCGCCAAUGCCGCUCCUGUGGCGGUGGCGGCCUAAGUUAGGCCACUGACCCCGUCAAAAGGGUCACGGCCCGUUCGAAUGGUGCUCGCAGGUUCGACGGUAGCUGACAUAGACUGAAGGGCUGCGGCGACGUGACGCCGAUAUCGUCGCCUAAGGUGAUCGGCUAGCCGGGCAUAGGAAUCCUGUUGCACGGAGUCCGCCCGGUGAACCAUCAAAUGUGCAACUAUGCCUGUAGACGUCUCUGGACAAAUGUUUCGGACGCGGGUUCGAUUCCCGCCAUCUCCACCU